rnacentral:rRNA from 1 species
UGGGGAAUAUUGGACAAUGGGCGAAAGCCUGAUCCAGCAAUGCCGCGUGAGUGAAGAAGGCCUUAGGGUUGUAAAGCUCUUUCACCCGCGACGAUGAUGACGGUAGCGGGAGAAGAAGCCCCGGCUAAUUCCGUGCCAGCAGCCGCGGUAAUACGGAAGGGGCUAGCGUUGUUCGGAAUCACUGGGCGUAAAGCGCGCGUAGGCGGCCGGUCAAGUGCGGCGUGAAAGUCCUGGGCUCAACCCGGGGACGGCGCUGCGGACUGUCCGGGUGGAGUCCGGAAGAGGGUGGUGGAAUUCCGAGUGUAGAGGUGAAAUUCGUAGAUAUUCGGAGGAACACCGGUGGCGAAGGCGGGCACCUGGUCCGGUACUGACGCUCAAGCGCGAAAGCGUAGGGAGCAAACAGG